UACGUAGGGUCCGAGCGUUGUCCGGAAUUAUUGGGCGUAAAGGGCUCGUAGGCGGUUGGUCACGUCGGGAGUGAAAACUCAGGGCUCAACCCUGAGCGUGCUUCCGAUACGGGCCGACUAGAGGUAUGCAGGGGAGAACGGAAUUCCUGGUGUAGCGGUGGAAUGCGCAGAUAUCAGGAGGAACACCGGUGGCGAAGGCGGUUCUCUGGGCCGAUACUGACGCUGAGGAGCGAAAGCGUGGGGAGCGAACAGG
rnacentral:rRNA from 1 species